rnacentral:rRNA from 1 species
UGCAAGUCGAGCGAUGAAGUUUCUUCGGAAAUGGAUUAGCGGCGAACGGGUGAGGAACACGUGAAGAAUCUGCCCUCCACUUUGGGAUAACACCGGGAAACCGGUGCUAAUACCGAAUAUUGAAACAUAAGUGGCAUCACUGAGUUUUGAAAGAAUUUCGGUGGAGGAUGACUUCGCGGCCUAUCAGCUAGUUGGUGAGGUAAUGGCUCACCAAGGCAACGACGGGUAGCCGGCCUGAGAGGGCGACCGGCCACACUGGGACUGAGACACGGCCCAGACUCCUACGGGAGGCAGCAGUGGGGAAUAUUGGGCAAUGGAGGAAACUCUGACCCAGCGACGCCGCGUGCGGGAUGAAGGCCUUCGGGUUGUAAACCGCUUUCAGUAGGGAAGAAGCGAAAGUGACGGUACCUACAAAAGAAGCACCGGCUAACUAUGUGCCAGCAGCCGCGGUAAUACAUAGGGUGCAAGCGUUGUCCGGAAUUAUUGGGCGUAAAGAGCUCGUAGGUCGUUUGUUACGUCGGAUGUGAAAACCUGAGGCUCAACCUCAGGCCUGCAUUCGAUACGGGCAAACUAGAGUUUGGUAGGGGAGACUGGAAUUCCUGGUGUAGCGGUAGAAUGCGCAGAUAUCAGGAGGAACACCAAUGGCGAAGGCAGGUCUCUGGGCCAAUACUGACACUGAGGAGCGAAAGUCUGGGGAGCG